GAGUGAAGAAGGCCUUCGGGUUGUAAGCUCUUUCAGUUGAGAAGAAAAGAUUGUGACUAAUAAUUGCAAUUCAUGACGGUAUCAACAGAAGAAGCACCGGCUAACUACGUGCCAGCAGCCGCGGUAAUACGUAGGGUGCGAGCGUUAAUCGGAAUUACUGGGCGUAAAGGGUGCGCAGGCGGUUCUGUAAGUCAGAUGUGAAAUCCCCGGGCUUAACCUGGGAACUGCGUUUGAAACUACAGAGCUAGAGUGUGGCAGAGGGGGUGGAAUUCCAUGUGUAGCAGUGAAAUGCGUAGAGAUAUGGAAGAACAUCGAUGGCGAAGGCAGCCCCCUGGGUCAACACUGACGCUCAUGCACGAAAGCGUGGGGAGCAAACAGGAUUAGAUACCCUGGUAGUCCACGCCCUAAACUAUGUCAACUAGUUGUCGGGCCUUAUUAGGUUUGGUAACGUAGCUAACGCGUGAAGUUGACCGCCUGGGGAGUACGGUCGCAAGAUUAAAAACUCAAAGGAAUUGACGGGG
rnacentral:rRNA from 1 species